UUAAGCGACUAAGCGUACACGGUGGAUGCCCUGGCAGUCAGAGGCGAUGAAGGACGUGCUAAUCUGCGAUAAGCGUCGGUAAGGUGAUAUGAACCGUUAUAACCGGCGAUUUCCGAAUGGGGAAACCCAGUGUGAUUCGUCACACUAUCAUUAACUGAAUCCAUAGGUUAAUGAGGCGAACCGGGGGAACUGAAACAUCUAAGUACCCCGAGGAAAAGAAAUCAACCGAGAUUCCCCCAGUAGCGGCGAGCGAACGGGGAGGAGCCCAGAGCCUGAAUCAGUGUGUGUGUUAGUGGAAGCGUCUGGAAAGGCGCGCGAUACAGGGUGACAGCCCCGUACACAAAAAUGCACAUGCUGUGAGCUCGAUGAGUAGGGCGGGACACGUGGUAUCCUGUCUGAAUAUGGGGGGACCAUCCUCCAAGGCUAAAUACUCCUGACUGACCGAUAGUGAACCAGUACCGUGAGGGAAAGGCGAAAAGAACCCCGGCGAGGGGAGUGAAAAAGAACCUGAAACCGUGUACGUACAAGCAGUGGGAGCACGCUUAGGCGUGUGACUGCGUACCUUUUGUAUAAUGGGUCAGCGACUUAUAUUCUGUAGCAAGGUUAACCGAAUAGGGGAGCCGAAGGGAAACCGAGUCUUAACUGGGCGUUAAGUUGCAGGGUAUAGACCCGAAACCCGGUGAUCUAGCCAUGGGCAGGUUGAAGGUUGGGUAACACUAACUGGAGGACCGAACCGACUAAUGUUGAAAAAUUAGCGGAUGACUUGUGGCUGGGGGUGAAAGGCCAAUCAAACCGGGAGAUAGCUGGUUCUCCCCGAAAGCUAUUUAGGUAGCGCCUCGUGAAUUCAUCUCCGGGGGUAGAGCACUGUUUCGGCAAGGGGGUCAUCCCGACUUACCAACCCGAUGCAAACUGCGAAUACCGGAGAAUGUUAUCACGGGAGACACACGGCGGGUGCUAACGUCCGUCGUGAAGAGGGAAACAACCCAGACCGCCAGCUAAGGUCCCAAAGUCAUGGUUAAGUGGGAAACGAUGUGGGAAGGCCCAGACAGCCAGGAUGUUGGCUUAGAAGCAGCCAUCAUUUAAAGAAAGCGUAAUAGCUCACUGGUCGAGUCGGCCUGCGCGGAAGAUGUAACGGGGCUAAACCAUGCACCGAAGCUGCGGCAGCGACGCUUAUGCGUUGUUGGGUAGGGGAGCGUUCUGUAAGCCUGCGAAGGUGUGCUGUGAGGCAUGCUGGAGGUAUCAGAAGUGCGAAUGCUGACAUAAGUAACGAUAAAGCGGGUGAAAAGCCCGCUCGCCGGAAGACCAAGGGUUCCUGUCCAACGUUAAUCGGGGCAGGGUGAGUCGACCCCUAAGGCGAGGCCGAAAGGCGUAGUCGAUGGGAAACAGGUUAAUAUUCCUGUACUUGGUGUUACUGCGAAGGGGGGACGGAGAAGGCUAUGUUGGCCGGGCGACGGUUGUCCCGGUUUAAGCGUGUAGGCUGGUUUUCCAGGCAAAUCCGGAAAAUCAAGGCUGAGGCGUGAUGACGAGGCACUACGGUGCUGAAGCAACAAAUGCCCUGCUUCCAGGAAAAGCCUCUAAGCAUCAGGUAACAUCAAAUCGUACCCCAAACCGACACAGGUGGUCAGGUAGAGAAUACCAAGGCGCUUGAGAGAACUCGGGUGAAGGAACUAGGCAAAAUGGUGCCGUAACUUCGGGAGAAGGCACGCUGAUAUGUAGGUGAAGUCCCUCGCGGAUGGAGCUGAAAUCAGUCGAAGAUACCAGCUGGCUGCAACUGUUUAUUAAAAACACAGCACUGUGCAAACACGAAAGUGGACGUAUACGGUGUGACGCCUGCCCGGUGCCGGAAGGUUAAUUGAUGGGGUCAGCGCAAGCGAAGCUCUUGAUCGAAGCCCCGGUAAACGGCGGCCGUAACUAUAACGGUCCUAAGGUAGCGAAAUUCCUUGUCGGGUAAGUUCCGACCUGCACGAAUGGCGUAAUGAUGGCCAGGCUGUCUCCACCCGAGACUCAGUGAAAUUGAACUCGCUGUGAAGAUGCAGUGUACCCGCGGCAAGACGGAAAGACCCCGUGAACCUUUACUAUAGCUUGACACUGAACAUUGAGCCUUGAUGUGUAGGAUAGGUGGGAGGCUUUGAAGUGUGGACGCCAGUCUGCAUGGAGCCGACCUUGAAAUACCACCCUUUAAUGUUUGAUGUUCUAACGUUGACCCGUAAUCCGGGUUGCGGACAGUGUCUGGUGGGUAGUUUGACUGGGGCGGUCUCCUCCUAAAGAGUAACGGAGGAGCACGAAGGUUGGCUAAUCCUGGUCGGACAUCAGGAGGUUAGUGCAAUGGCAUAAGCCAGCUUGACUGCGAGCGUGACGGCGCGAGCAGGUGCGAAAGCAGGUCAUAGUGAUCCGGUGGUUCUGAAUGGAAGGGCCAUCGCUCAACGGAUAAAAGGUACUCCGGGGAUAACAGGCUGAUACCGCCCAAGAGUUCAUAUCGACGGCGGUGUUUGGCACCUCGAUGUCGGCUCAUCACAUCCUGGGGCUGAAGUAGGUCCCAAGGGUAUGGCUGUUCGCCAUUUAAAGUGGUACGCGAGCUGGGUUUAGAACGUCGUGAGACAGUUCGGUCCCUAUCUGCCGUGGGCGCUGGAGAACUGAGGGGGGCUGCUCCUAGUACGAGAGGACCGGAGUGGACGCAUCACUGGUGUUCGGGUUGUCAUGCCAAUGGCACUGCCCGGUAGCUAAAUGCGGAAGAGAUAAGUGCUGAAAGCAUCUAAGCACGAAACUUGCCCCGAGAUGAGUUCUCCCUGACCCUUUAAGGGUCCUGAAGGAACGUUGAAGACGACGACGUUGAUAGGCCGGGUGUGUAAGCGCAGCGAUGCGUUGAGCUAACCGGUACUAAUGAACCGUGAGGCUUAACCUU
rnacentral:rRNA from 2 species